AUUGAACGCUGGCGGCAGGCCUAACACAUGCAAGUCGAGCGGAUGAAGGGAGCUUGCUCCUGGAUUCAGCGGCGGACGGGUGAGUAAUGCCUAGGAAUCUGCCUGGUAGUGGGGGAUAACGUCCGGAAACGGGCGCUAAUACCGCAUACGUCCUGAGGGAGAAAGUGGGGGAUCUUCGGACCUCACGCUAUCAGAUGAGCCUAGGUCGGAUUAGCUAGUUGGUGGGGUAAAGGCCUACCAAGGCGACGAUCCGUAACUGGUCUGAGAGGAUGAUCAGUCACACUGGAACUGAGACACGGUCCAGACUCCUACGGGAGGCAGCAGUGGGGAAUAUUGGACAAUGGGCGAAAGCCUGAUCCAGCCAUGCCGCGUGUGUGAAGAAGGUCUUCGGAUUGUAAAGCACUUUAAGUUGGGAAGAAGGGCAGUAAGUUAAUACCUUGCUGUUUUGACGUUACCAACAGAAUAAGCAACGGCUAACUUCGUG
rnacentral:rRNA from 1 species